ACAUGACAAGUCAGCAGAGACAAUCGAACAAGGAGGAAUGGAAACCAAUCAGAAGAAAGAGAUAGCUACAACUAGAAAGAAACCAAUUUUUCUCCAGGAGAUGACAUGGCCUCUCCCAAUCUCAUGACACCACAUUGGCAGAUCUUAUGGUGACUAUUCCAGAAUAUCAUAUAGUUGAUAAAGGGGAGCUCCUAUUUUCACUUAGAUAGAUCUCGUGUCUACUAGGUAGAACUAAUAAUUAUACAGUGACCAACACCAUGAACUCUCAUGUAGACCACAUCAUAACCAUUCAGAUAUACUACACUAUGACCUCUCAAAUAGACCACAUCAUGACCUCUCAUAUAGACCACACCAUGAUCUCUCAGAUAGUCUAUAUCAUGACGUCUCAGAUAGACCACAUCAUGACCUUUCAGAUAGACCAAAUCUUGACCUCUCAGUAAGACCACACCAUGACCUCUCAGGUAAACCACACCAUGAUUAGUCAGACUACUUCCUGAUCGCUCAGGUAGACCACUUCCUGACCUCUCAGGUAGACCAUACCAUGACUAGUCAGCUAGAUCAUUUCCUGACCUCUCAGGUAGACCAUACCAUGACUAGUCAGGUAGACCACAUCAAAACCAUGCAGUUAGGCUUCAACAUGGCCACUCAGAUAGAUAUUGUCUUACCCAUACAGAGAGAGUUCUUCCUAGCCACUCAGGGAUAGCUCAUCCUGGCCACACAGAGAGAGAUAAUCAAGGCCAAAGAGGGAGAGCUCAUGAUAACCAUACAGGGUUAGCUCAUCACAACCAUGACGGCAAAUCUCAUCAUGAACACUCAGGGAGACCUUACCAUGGCCAUGCAAUGAGAGCUCAUAACAACCAGUCAUGGAGAGAUCUUAACCAGUCAUGGAGAGGUCAGAACAACCAGUCACAGAGAGGUCAUGACAACCAGUCACAGAGAGGUCAUGACAACCAGUCAUGUAGAGGUCAUAAUAAUCAGUCAUGGAGAGCUCAUAACACCCGGUCACGGAGAGAUCGUUAUGACACCUCAUUGAGAUCUAGUAGCAUCCAGUCAUGGAUGCUUCAUGAAGGAGAAAGAUACCAUGGUCCAAGAGGAAGAAAUGGAACCAGGAACUGAGCCAGAAAUUGACAG
rnacentral:lncRNA from 1 species